rnacentral:rRNA from 1 species
GGAGCAGCCCAGAGCCUGAAUCAGUGUGUGUGUUAGUGGAAGCGUCUGGAAAGGCGCGCGAUACAGGGUGACAGCCCCGUACACAAAAAUGCACAUGCUGUGAGCUCGAUGAGUAGGGCGGGACACGUGGUAUCCUGUCUGAAUAUGGGGGGACCAUCCUCCAAGGCUAAAUACUCCUGACUGACCGAUAGUGAACCAGUACCGUGAGGGAAAGGCGAAAAGAACCCCGGCGAGGGGAGUGAAAAAGAACCUGAAACCGUGUACGUACAAGCAGUGGGAGCACGCUUAGGCGUGUGACUGCGUACCUUUUGUAUAAUGGGUCAGCGACUUAUAUUCUGUAGCAAGGUUAACCGAAUAGGGGAGCCGAAGGGAAACCGAGUCUUAACUGGGCGUUAAGUUGCAGGGUAUAGACCCGAAACCCGGUGAUCUAGCCAUGGGCAGGUUGAAGGUUGGGUAACACUAACUGGAGGACCGAACCGACUAAUGUUGAAAAAUUAGCGGAUGACUUGUGGCUGGGGGUGAAAGGCCAAUCAAACCGGGAGAUAGCUGGUUCUCCCCGAAAGCUAUUUAGGUAGCGCCUCGUGAAUUCAUCUCCGGGGGUAGAGCACUGUUUCGGCAAGGGGGUCAUCCCGACUUACCAACCCGAUGCAAACUGCGAAUACCGGAGAAUGUUAUCACGGGAGACACACGGCGGGUGCUAACGUCCGUCGUGAAGAGGGAAACAACCCAGACCGCCAGCUAAGGUCCCAAAGUCAUGGUUAAGUGGGAAACGAUGUGGGAAGGCCCAGACAGCCAGGAUGUUGGCUUAGAAGCAGCCAUCAUUUAAAGAAAGCGUAAUAGCUCACUGGUCGAGUCGGCCUGCGCGGAAGAUGUAACGGGGCUAAACCAUGCAC